rnacentral:rRNA from 1 species
GACGAACGCUGGCGGCGUGCUUAACACAUGCAAGUCGAACGGUGAAGCGCCUUCCUUUUUGGUGGGUGUGGAUGAGUGGCGAACGGGUGAGUAACACGUGAGUAACCUGCCCCCUUCUUCUGGAUAACCGCAUGAAAGUGUGGCUAAUACGGGAUAUUCUGGGUCUGUCGCAUGAUGGGUCUGGGAAAGAUAUUGUUUCGGUGGGGGAUGGGCUCGCGGCCUAUCAGCUUGUUGGUGGGGUGAUGGCCUACCGAGGCGGUGACGGGUAGCCGGCCUGGGAGGGUGGCCGGUCCCAUCGGGACUGAGGCACGGCCCAGCCUGCUACGGGAGGCAGCAGGGGGGAAUAUUGCACGAUGGGCGCAAGCCUGAUGCAGCGACGCCGCGUGAGGGAUGGAGGCCUUCGGGUUGUGAACCUCUUUCGCUAGUGAAGCAGGCCUGCCUCGUUUGUGGGUGGGUUGACGGUAGCUGGAUAAGAAGCGCCGGCUAACUACGUG